GAAGAAGGCCCUUGUAGCUCUUCUGGAGUCCAAGGGUGGCUCCCCUUUGCCCUCUAACCCUGUUCCGCACCCAGAUUGGUGACCCUGCCCAGCCCCUCCUUAAGCGUCACCUCGCCCCAUCACCUCUCCCCUUUGUCCUUCAGGGAUGAUUCUGGCCCAAACCCCAAGCCCUGCCAGCCUCUGUCCAUUGUCAUUUCCGCCAGGUGGGGUGGGGGUCUAGACCUGCUCCUGCCCCUCCCCGCCCACACCGCUCCCCAGAGAGCCCUUUCCCAUGGCCCUGAAGACAGGCAGGGUUGUAGAGGGCUUCCCAGUGCUGGGGGAGCAGCCUGCAGGCAGGAGGUGAGGCCCACACAACUGGAAGACCUGUGGUUCUGGCCUGGCCUGAAGGAAGUUAUGAUGACCCCAGCUUUCCCUGCCUGAUGGACCAGGCCACUAGCCUGCCAGGGCAAGGCCAGGAGGGUCAUGCCUGUCCCCAUCCCCAGAGCAGUCUGGCCUCUCUCGCGGCCCACCGUGUGUCCUGCAGCCGGGCUGGCUGGGAGAAUUCAGGAUGCAGGUUGAGGAGGCAGCUGUGCAGGAAGCUCGAGGCCCCGGGAAAGGUCAUCUGUUGUGACCCUGAGAGAUGACCGCGGCGACAUCAAGAAACGGGAACCAUCACAUGAAGGCGUCCUGGCCAGAAGGAAGGGAAAACAUAAGACAGUGCAAAUAAAGUGUGCAGGAGGGGAAAGAAGAGACACA